rnacentral:rRNA from 1 species
UACGAAGGUGGCGAGCGUUGUUCGGAAUUAUUGGGCGUAAAGCGCGUGUAGGCGGCCUGUUAAGUCUGGUGUGAAAUCCCGGGGCUCAACCCCGGAAGUGCAUUGGAUACUGGCAGACUUGAGUAUGGGAGAGGAAGGUGGAAUUCCGAGUGUAGGAGUGAAAUCCGUAGAUAUUCGGAGGAACACCAGUGGCGAAGGCGGCCUUCUGGACCAAUACUGACGCUGAGACGCGAAAGCGUGGGGAGCAAACAGG